ensembl:snoRNA U8 U8 small nucleolar RNA
UCAUCAGGUAGGAUAAUUCUUACCUGUUCUUUUUGGAAGGCAAAAUAGAACAUGACGAUUGGAGCUUGCAUGACUUGUGAUUAACGUCUCUGCAUAGUCAGGACUUGCAAAACAAGUUUCUUAAUGAUCAUCUAAC